rnacentral:rRNA from 1 species
UACGGGGGGGGCAAGCGUUGUUCGGAAUUACUGGGCGUAAAGGGCGCGUAGGCGGUCCGACAAGUCAGGGGUGAAAUCCUGCAGCUUAACUGUAGAAGUGCCUCUGAUACUGUCGGUCUUGAGGGAGAUAGGGGUGUGCGGAACUUCUAGUGGAGCGGUGAAUGACGUUGAUAUUGGAAGGAACGCCGGAGGCGAAAGCGGCGCACUGGAUCUCUACUGACGCUGAGGCGCGAAAGCCAGGGGAGCAAACGGG